UGUUGAAAUACCAGUUCUUGUAUGAUCACUGAAGUUAAGCAACAUUGAGCAUAGUCAGUACCUAGAUAGGUGACCGCUUCAAAAUUCCAGGUGCUGUAAG